AACGCACAUUGCGCCCUCUGGUAUUCCGGGGGGCACACCUGUUCGAGCGCCGUUGACAUACUAAGGCCCUGUCUUGUGUUGGCCCUUCCCGCUAGGGAUCGGUCGAAAAUUAUGCAGAUCCCAGAAAAUCGGAAGCAUACGCAAUAGUAUAGCGAAGAUGUUCUGAAUCUCAAUUAUCAACCAGUUUGGCCUCGGAUCAGGUGGGGAUACCCGCUGAACUUAA
rnacentral:misc_RNA from 1 species